GCUGGGCAUGGUGGCGCAUGCCUGUAGUCCCAGCUACUCGGGAGGCUGAGGCAGGAGAAUUGCUUGAAUCCAGGAGCCGGAGGUUGCAGUGAGCCGAGAUCGCGCCACUGCACUCCAGCCUGGGUGACAGAGCAAGACUCCGUCUCAG
ensembl:misc_RNA Metazoa_SRP Metazoan signal recognition particle RNA